rnacentral:lncRNA from 1 species
AGGUGGGGAAAUAUUUUCUUCAGCUACAUUUUUAAUACAAUCCAUCAAACCCUAAUCUACAAAUCUGCAGUGAAAUAGAAAGAUUAGAUGAUAAAAAUUAAUGCGACCCAAAACCCCUAUAAAACACGACGAAAUCUCAAAAAGAAAACCCUAGAAUAACAGUUUAGAUCAUACACCAAGUAAACAAACCUAGAAUGGAAAUAAAUGCAAAUGUAUAUCUUUGUGGUUUUGUUUACCCGAGAAAUAAACAACGGCGGAGCAAGAGACUCGACCGGCGAGAAAUCCUCUUCUUCUUGAGGCAAGAUAGGAAUUAGGAAGGAAGAGAAAGAAUCUUCAAUAUUUGGACGCCGACCGAGUGGGGGGGGGAGAACUCUAACUUUAAAAUAUUUUAAUUUUUUUUUUUUUUUUUUUUGAAUGGCGAUUUUGAUUAAACAGAAAAUUAAAAAGAUUACAAGUCAAUUAACUAAACAACUAAAAGUAGAUAAGAUAAAUGGAAUAGAUGUGGCGUGCUAAUCCUCGGCUUGAAGGUCAAAAACCAAUAGCGAGGUUUCCUCCUAUCUUCUGGUAGUUGUAUCUGUCGCUCGUCGGAUAUGGAAAACUGUUGCUCGCGAAAUGAUCUCAUUCGCGGUCACUGAAAGGCGUGGAGCCGAGGUCUCACUCGAGGUCCUUCGAUCAAGUUAAAAAAGAGGUUAGGGAGUAGAUUUGAACUGGAAGCUAGGCGUGGAGUGCUGCUGAUCUGAGAUGACCUCGCUCGCUCCCCAUUUCUCGCUAUCGCAUGCUCGCUCUCUUCCAAUCCCUCUUUCUCGGUCGAUCGCCGCCCUAUCGCCGCCAGGGCUCGCUCGCGGUCAGUGGCCGGACUUCAACUCGCGCGUUGGCAUGGUUCGCUCACUUGCUGGCACCGGACUUCCGACCGGG